GACUAGGUGCAGCGCUGCUUUUGCCGGUUCCGAAGCGCUGACCGAAUCAAAAGAACCGCGCUACGCACGUAGUCUUUUCAUUUCGGGCUUUUUCGGACGGGGGUUCAACUCCCCCCGCCUCCACCA
rnacentral:tmRNA from 1 species